UACGUAGGGGGCAAGCGUUAUCCGGAUUUACUGGGUGUAAAGGGAGCGUAGACGGCAGGGCAAGUCCGAUGUGAAAGCCCGGGGCUCAACCCCGGGACUGCAUUGGAAACUGCCCGGCUUGAGUGCAGGAGAGGCAGGCGGAAUUCCUAGUGUAGCGGUGAAAUGCGUAGAUAUUAGGAGGAACACCAGUGGCGAAGGCGGCCUGCUGGACUGUAACUGACGUUGAGGCUCGAAAGCGUG
rnacentral:rRNA from 1 species